AGGUCACGGUCCGGGUGCGAGCCUCGCUCGGGCCGUCAGGGGAGGGGCUGAGCUACGGCCCCGCAGCCGCUGGAGCCCUUGCAGCCGUAUUAUCACAUGACUCGACGGCGGCGGUAGCCUUGGCAGCAGCUGCGCCGGCUCCGCGGGCUCGCCGGGUGGGCUCAGUUCCGCUCACGCAGGAGUCGAGCGCAGCAGGCGGGGAAGGGACCUGCUGAAGCUGCGGCCGCCCAGCCGCUCCCGGAGCGCUCGGCAUCUCCCCCGGCCCGGCCGGCCCGCUCCAUGCCGCUCCAUUGCGGAAGUGUAGCGGGGGGAGGGGGCGGCGGCGGCGGCACGGAGCGCGGGAGGCCGGAGCUCGGCCCCUUGCAGCACUAGGCUCUGGGAGCAGCGCGGCGCGCCCACCGGCCCGGCUGCCCGUGCGCCCGCCGCAGCCUGCAUGCCCCGCGCUGCGCCUCGCCCGGCCCCAGCCGCCGCCCACUGCUCGCACCGCUGCUGCCGGGCGCCGGAGUAAUAUGCUCACUCGAGUGAAAUCUGCCGUGGCCAAUUUCAUGGGCGGCAUCAUGGCUGGCAGCUCAGGCUCCGAGCACGGCGGCGGCGGCUGCGGAGGCUCGGACCUGCCCCUGCGCUUCCCCUAUGGGCGACCCGAGUUCCUGGGGCUGUCGCAGGACGAGGUGGAGUGCAGCGCCGACCACAUCGCCCGCCCCAUCCUCAUUCUCAAGGAGACCCGGCGGCUGCCCUGGGCCACUGGCUACGCAGAGGUUAUCAAUGCCGGGAAGAGCACACACAAUGAAGACCAAGCCAGCUGUGAGGUGCUCACCGUGAAGAAGAAAGCAGGGGCCAUUACCUCAACCCCAAACAGGAACUCAGCUAAGAGACGGUCCUCACUUCCCAACGGGGAGGGACUGCAGCUGAAGGAGAACUCGGAAUCAGAAGGCGUUUCCUGCCACUACUGGUCGCUGUUUGACGGUCACGCGGGGUCCGGGGCUGCUGUGGUGGCAUCCCGCCUGCUGCAGCACCACAUCACGGAGCAGCUGCAGGACAUCGUGGAGAUCCUAAAGAACUCGGCCGUGCUGCCGCCCACCUGCCUGGGCGAGGAGCCCGACCACACACCCGCGAACAGCCGGACUCUGACCCGCGCGGCCUCGCUCCGUGGAGGGGUGGGCGCCCCCGGCUCCCCCAGCACCCCGCCCACGCGCUUCUUCACCGAGAAGAAGAUCCCGCACGAGUGCCUCGUCAUCGGGGCUCUUGAAAGUGCAUUCAAGGAAAUGGAUCUACAAAUCGAACGAGAGAGGAGUUCAUACAGUAUAUCUGGUGGUUGCACAGCCCUCAUCGUGAUUUGCCUUUUGGGGAAGCUGUACGUAGCAAAUGCUGGGGACAGCAGGGCCAUAAUCAUCAGAAAUGGAGAAAUCAUCCCCAUGUCUUCGGAAUUCACCCCUGAGACUGAGCGCCAGCGACUUCAGUACCUGGCAUUCAUGCAGCCUCACUUGCUGGGAAAUGAGUUCACACAUUUGGAGUUUCCAAGGAGAGUACAGAGAAAGGAACUUGGGAAGAAGAUGCUCUACAGGGAUUUUAAUAUGACAGGCUGGGCAUACAAAACCAUUGAGGAUGAUGACUUGAAGUUUCCCCUUAUAUAUGGAGAAGGCAAGAAGGCCCGAGUAAUGGCGACUAUUGGAGUGACCAGGGGACUUGGGGACCAUGACCUGAAGGUGCAUGACUCCAACAUCUACAUAAAACCAUUCCUGUCUUCAGCUCCAGAGGUAAGAGUCUACGAUCUCUCCAGAUACGAGCAUGGAGCGGAUGAUGUGCUGAUCCUGGCCACUGAUGGACUCUGGGAUGUUUUAUCAAAUGAAGAAGUGGCAGAAGCAGUCACUCAGUUUCUCCCUAACUGUGAUCCAGAUGACCCUCACAGGUACACACUGGCGGCUCAGGACCUGGUGAUGCGUGCCCGUGGCGUCCUGAAGGACAGAGGAUGGCGGAUAUCCAAUGACCGACUGGGCUCAGGAGAUGACAUCUCUGUAUAUGUCAUUCCUUUAAUACAUGGAAACAAACUGUCAUGAAAACAGCCCAGGGUUUUAGAAGGACAGAAGGGAAGAAAGCUGGGAUGCCUCUGGGCAGGGCGGGGCUGGGAAGUGCCCCAGCAGAGUUCCAGAUGAUGCCACCUCUUCCCUGCCCAGGUGGGAAGCUUGCUGCUGAAAGGCCUCUGGCUGAGCUCCAGGAGGACCCUCGGGCUUCAGUUUCCUCUUUAGUAACAGGUCUGGAUACUCAACAAGAGCAAAACAUAAAGGCUACGACUGAGUGCUGUGUUUCUGUCGGUUCCUUUCAUAGGCCUCCUAGGCGGCCAUUGCCCAUUUGGGGGCACAUCCAUCAUAUUUAUUUUAUCCAGAGUAGCUGGGGCAGCCCUUUGCGGGUGUCACUGGCAGAAGACUCUUCCGCCUGCCAAGCUGCCAACUUCCCUACGGGUUAAAAGUGCUGCAUUGGAGAGUUGGGGAUCAUGCCUCAGAAGAUGGAAGCGCCCAUCUUCUAGUAAGCCUGAGAUUUAUUUCAGGGAACACUGUGUGUGUGUGUGUGUGUGUGUGUGUGUGUGUGUGUGUGUCUCUCUCUCUCUCUCUCUCUUUACUAUUUUUUGGUGCCAGUGGGGUGUGGCAGGGAAUUUUUUUUUUUUUUUGACGUUCCUUGAAUCUUAAUUGUUUUCCUUCCAUAGAACAGGUCUGGGACUUUCCAGGCCCCUGUCGAGGAAUCUGUGUGUCCAAGUCCAGCCCAGACUGUCCCCAUAUCCCGUAGCCCACACCACCCAGGCCGCCAUCUGGAGCGGUGCCCUGGCUGAUGGAGUUCAGUCUUUGUUAUGUAACAGUUUUUCCCUGAGUUGCAUUUUCUCACCAAAUCAGUGUGUUUUUGUGGAAAUAUGGGUGUUUCUCUGGACCCACAGUUCCUCUGUCAUCUUCAAGGGCCCCCCCUGGUGUGGGUGAGGUCUCUCUGGGAGAGUCUGGAUUUCGUUUCUGGAACGGUUGGCCCUCCCCCACCCGCUGUGCCAUAGGGACAGACACAAAGCAGAGUUGAAGCGAGCAGGUUAAGAGGUUCCUUGUAUCAGUCAGUUCACCACACCCCAUCUGAGGACCACUCCUCCAUCUGGAUCCAGGUUCCGUGGACCAGGACCGUCUCCAAGCCCCCUCCAAAUAACAUGUUAAGGAGCAGAGUUCUGUCAAGCGCUGUCUCUGCCUCCCCAUCAUAUCUGGGCAAGGCCCGCUCGGAGUGGCCGUUUGAUAAAAGUGAAUUUGAAUCAGGCUGACUGGUCAUUCUCAGGCUGGACCCUCUGUUCCUUCUCCACGGAAUCAUGUCCCAGCCCCCCAGGUACCGAGACCCCUGCUCCUACUGUCACUCCACCUCUGGGUGUUCCUCGCAAGAGCAGCGGCAGCCAGCGCAUCAGACUUCCCUGGUGCAUCUCGGCCGGGAGGACUCGCAAAAUAGAUUUUUAGAAAUCACUUUUAGGCAGACCGCUUCUGGGCAUGGGGGACCUUAUAGAGCAGUGUCCAAUCACCGAGUCUUCUCCCUGCAGACCUCCUGUGGUAGCGUCACCAUCUUGACUACUUUUUGUAAUAAGACGUGCUUCCCACCCCAUUAAAGACAGAGGUCAUUGGUGUGAUUCCCCCCAGAAGGCUGGAGAGCCAGUUCCACUUCUCCUGUUUGUUCAGUCCCUUCCGCAGAGGGGAGGACAGGAACCUUUCCUCUGGGUAGUGGGUCGCCUGCGCUUACGUUCUUGGAAUGUAGCUAUUUUCUUAGGAAUGUCCUGGAGCCUUCCUGCUUCGGAAUGUAUUCAUCCCACAGUGUGGAGACAACCGCUGGUCUGGCAGGUGAAGUCUGGCGGGAAUUCACCCACCGAGUGUUUGCCAAAAUGUUGUUUGGGAAGAACUGGACUCACUGGUCCCUUGUCGGGAGUCAUCGUCAUCUGACGGCUUCCCUCCUCCUUCAGGAAAUCUUAGCCACCCCCAGCGUCUCUGUGGGGAGAAGUCUGUGGUAAACCAUUUGCUGCCCUAGCAGAACGAGAUGCUCUGGGGAAACAGGCAGGCAUCCUACAACAGCGUGGUCCGCUUUCUGUUGCUGCCCUGACUCUCAGAACCACGUACGAAUUCGGAAAUGAGAAGUUGUACAUGGAGGGCUCUGAGCUGCCUUCUUUGGGAGGCUGUCCUCACAAGCAGUCACCUCUCCCCCGUGUUUCCACUGCCUUUCACUUCUUUUAUUUCCUGGGCUUCUAUCUGGGCCCUACCUUGAGCUUCUCUGGUUUUACUCAAGGCACCAGAGUCAGAGUUUGCAUGUGCAUAUCAUAGAGAUGUCAUGACAGCCUGGACUCAAUUCUCCAAUUCAUUUCCUGCCAAGGCAUGUCUCAGCAAAAACUCUGGAAGCCCCUGAUUCAAUUUAUCCUAAAGUUUUGAGUAUUUAGUCCUACUGGAUUUAGUUAGAAAGGUGUCCAGGAAUUCUCCUCAUAAGCCCCCUUGGGUGGAAAGAUCUUAGUAGCAAGCUGAAGCCAUGUUGUCAGUUUGGGGGAUUGGAGGGAAAAACCACAAAUGAGAUAAAUAAAUCAAAUGUGGAAAAAAAAUGAUGUUAAUGCCCGUGGCAGGUCUGCCCAGCACCGAUAUUGCUCUGUGAAUUGAGCUUACUCAGUUUUAGCCUCAUUUUUCCCCCUUGGAGCAUUCCUGGAAAGGUCAAAAGGCAACACACUCAAAAUUCUGCAGAACAUAUUUAUACGUGGUUCUGUGAUCUUGCGUCUCUGACUUACAGUCAAGUCUGCUUGCCCUAGUAGCCUCAAAGGAAGUCUUAUUUAAUAAAAAGCUUUCGAUUUCCUAGUCAAGUCUUUACGGUUAUCUGGGGGGGAGGGGUGUGGCCACUUCCUUAAAUGAAAGCCUCUCUCAGUUCUAAAUCUCUUUGCUGGACUGGCACUUGCUCUUCAGAAUAUUUGGUGACACUCUUUUCCUUAAAGAGAGCAAACUUGCACUCCAUCCACACUGUGGCAUUUUGUCAGGCAACAGGCAAACCUGUGUUCUCUCAAAACCUGAAAUCGGAGCAGUACCAGACCCAGAAAACUGGAGGGUGUGUUCUCCUGUGGUUGAGCUUGCCUAACUGCUGUUCUUACAGAGGGAACAGAGAAGUGAAAGUCGGGCUAGGCCAAGUACUCAGCUGUCUAAUAGGACAGAGCCCCCAAAGUGGGAAUUUGUUAUUUUCCACAGUUUACAGUUUUGGGGAAUUUGGGGUAUUUAAUUUUUUAAUCCCUAGCAAUUUACCUCCAUGAGGCUGCAUGAGGUCAGCUGUGCUCAUUCUUUUUGUGCUCUUCUAAGUAUUCAUUUACUUCUUGGAAAGAAUCACAGCUGUCAGUAGAUACUGGUGGGCAAGGAUGAGAGUCCCCGUAUCCAGAGUUGGCCUCAGAUCUUGGUCAUUCGGGCAGGGUUUUCAGUUCACCAAGAGCACUAGCGUGGCAACACUUGGAAAAAAAUCUCUCACAUCUUUACGACUCUGGUCUAACCUCCUUCCUCAUCUGCCAAUCAACUUUAUUUACAAGGCCACAAGUAGUCAGUGGUUUUCUUUCCACCACAGUCUGAGGAUCUUACCUUUCCUUAAGCAGCCCAGCAGCUCCACUGUUUUCAGACUGAACAUGUUAAACUUUAAUGAGAUUCUAUUUUUGGUAAGUUCGUGCUAUUGGGACACAUGAAGAAAGCAGUGAGAGUCACUAUCUAUGCAAAAACCCACCAGGCUGACCCUAAAAGGUAGCGGAUCUAAGAAAAUACUAAAACAGUGUCUGGCCACUGGACAGAAUUUUACAUUAGGAACUUGGAUUUUUGAAGACUUUCAGUUGCAGAGACAUGUCACAGCCUGCGCACCAUAAGCCCCCCAAGUGUACUUUGGUUCUGUGUUGGGUGAUGUGACUUAUGUGCAUACACUGGGAUUUUUCAAGGGACACUACAUGAGCAGCCCCACCUGCCUCUUCUGUAAGUACCGUGGUGGCUCUUUGUGGUUUGAGUGUCAGUCCAGGGAGUGCUGCUCUUUGUAAUCCACAUGAUUUGUGUAAAUAGCUUUAAUUUUGCCUUUGCGUCUUAGAUGUUUUGUUUAUGUAGCGCCCAGGUAGACAGUGACCAAAUGAGGCUUUAAAUGUAUUGUUUUCUACUGUGAUGUACUUGAAGGAGAAUCUCGUGUCCUCCACUCUUCCAGUCUUCCAUAGUAUUUUGUGUUUGGGGUGUCCUGAGGUUACUCUAUUACUCCUGUUUUGCCUCCACUUUCUUUGUUUCUUUCGGAAACCCAGGGAGGUCCACAGUGGAGAUCAUUUGUAAGGAAUGUAUCAUGGUCUGGGUUUCCAAGAAAAUACCCUACGUACAGUGAAUGAGAGGAAUCUGCCUGAAAAUGGUUUCGGAACCAUGUACCUUUAUGCUUUGUGAUUGUGAAACCUUGACUUUUGUAACCCAAAAAUGAAAACCGUUUAGUAAAGGGGAUCUAUUUUGUGUGUUUUGAAACUUAGGUGCAAUGUUCCCUGGAAAAAGCUAAAGAAAUGUAUAUGCUCAAUGCCACUUUAAAAUAAAAUAUUAUACAUAUGUAUAUAGGACACCUUUAGCAAAACCUUUUUGUGUCAUUUCGUUUAAUUCACUAAGAAGUGUCUUCAUACCAGGUAGUGGAAUGAGUUGAGAGGGUCAUGGCCUCAUGGGGAGUCAUCAACUGUGAACAGAUUCAAAAUCAGACGGGAAUGGAUGCCAACACUAUAAAUCUUCACAGGAAUCAGCAGUAAGAGCUGUACAUUUCACCAGUGCCUUUAGAACUACCGUGGGUAUUACUCCCAAGAACUACUCCCAACAGGUUACAGGAAGCUUUGAAGCAAAUCGAGAAGGCGCCCAGUAAUUGUCCUGCCACCUAUCAAGGUGGGCAAGUGCAAUCCUGCCAGGUAGAAUUGGCCCAGUGGGGGAUGAGAGCUGCCUGUCAUCACCGAGGAAUCUCAUCAAAUGCUGCUUGAGUAGAAAUGGAGGUGGCCCGUUGAGUCCUAUGACAAGAGCCAAGUGGAGCAGAAGGUAAGGGUUACCUUCCAGAACAACAAAAAUGGAUUUGGAGGUUAGGAGCGGGGACUUGUUUGGGCCACAGGCCAUAGAAUGUGCACGCGACACACAGGUCCUGCGUCCAGCUCCCAAAAUGUGUAACACAUGAAAUAAGUCCAGUUAGCAGAGGUAUGAAGGAGUGCCGUGGAGAAUCAGAGAUUAAGAGUCUACAAGGGGGGCUUCCCUGGUGGCACAGUGGUUGAG